rnacentral:rRNA from 1 species
CCUACGGGCGGCAGCAGUGGGGAAUAUUGGGCAAUGGGCGAAAGCCUGACCCAGCAAAGCCGCGUGAAGGAAGAAGGCUAUCGGGUUGUAAACUUCUUUUGACAGGGAAGAGCAGAAGACGGUACCUGUCGAAUAAGCCACGGCUAACUACGUGCCAGCAGCCGCGGUAAUACGUAGGUGGCAAGCGUUGUCCGGAUUGACUGGGGGUAAAGGGCGUGUAGCCGGGCUGACAAGUCAGAUGUGAAAUCCGGGGGCUCAACCCCCGAACUGCAUUUGAAACGGUUGGUCUUGAGUAUCGGAGAGGCAGGCGGAAUUCCUAGGGUAGCGGUGAAAUGCGUAGAUAUUAGGGGGAACACCAGUGGCGAAGGCGGCCUGCUGGACGACAACUGACGGUGAGGCGCGAAAGCGUGGGGAGCAAACAGGAUUAGAUACCCCUGUAGUC